UACGGAGGGUGCAAGCGUUAUCCGGAUUCACUGGGUUUAAAGGGAGCGCAGGCGGAUUUGUAAGUCAGUGGUGAAAGGCUUAAGCUUAACUUGGGAACUGCCAUUGAUACUAUAAGUCUUGAAUGUUGUUGAGGUUUGCUGGAAGUGGUCAUGUAGCGGUGAAAUGCAUAGAUAUGACCCGGAACACCUAUUGCGAAGGCAGCAGGCUAAACAAAUAUUGACGCUGAGGCUCGAAAGCGUGGGGAUCAAACAGG
rnacentral:rRNA from 1 species